UAUAUAUAUGUGUGUGUGUGUGUGUGUGUGUGUGUGUGUAUAUAUAUAUACAAACAUACACACACACCCUAUAUUAAA
rnacentral:miRNA from 1 species